rnacentral:tRNA from 1 species
GCGCCCGUAGCUCAGCGGAUAGAGCGUUGGCCUGCGGAGCCAAAGGUCGGAGGUUCAAGUCCUCUCGGGCGCG